CGUAAUUCAGUUGGUAGAAUGCUUGACUGUUAAUCAAGAAGUCGUAGGUUCGAGUCCUACCGG
rnacentral:tRNA from 1 species